CCUACGGGUGGCAGCAGUAGGGAAUAUUGCUCAAUGGGGGAAACCCUGAAGCAGCAACGCCGCGUGGAGGAUGAAGGUUUUCGGAUUGUAAACUCCUUUUGUUAGAGAAGAUAAUGACGGUAUCUAACGAAUAAGCACCGGCUAACUCCGUGCCAGCAGCCGCGGUAAUACGGAGGGUGCAAGCGUUAUCCGGAGUCACUGGGCGUAAAGAGCGCGUAGGCGGGAUAGCAAGUCAGAUGUGAAAUCCUAUGGCUUAACCAUAGAACUGCAUUUGAAACUGUUAUGCUAGAGUAUGGGAGGGGUAGGUGGAAUUCUUGGUGUAGGGGUAAAAUGCGUAGAGAUCAGGAGGAAUA
rnacentral:rRNA from 1 species